AGGUUAUGUAAAAGAAACAUCUUGGAACAGCUACCAGCCACAGCUGGGAACUUAAGCUCCAACCUCAGGAGGGAGCAGAACAAGGUUAAUUCCAAUGGGAAUACAAAAGUUCAAACACAAGAUGAAAAUAGGGUAGGAGCUCGAUUUGCACAACACCUUUAAGACCCAGGGACUGCUUUUCUGGCUACACAUAUGCAUCCUUUGAUCCUCUGUUUCUUUGAGUUUUGGUGUUGCAAUUGUUUUAUUUGAUUUUGGUUAAACAGAAAAUGCUCUGAGAAGUGACAGGGUACCAACGGGCUGGGGGACAGCAGCACUAGCCUCUCAGUCUCACUCCAGAGAAGAGCAAGGAAGGGGGACAAGACAGUGGGAAAUAAUGAACAAAGCAGCUUGGACUCUGGAGCCCAAAAGUCAGCUGAGGGGCCAUGGGAACUGGUCGGACCUGCCAAUCACCUAAAGCAUUAGCCUGUGAAAAGACUGUGCCCACCCAGCCCAGGCCUCUGGAUUGCACAGGACAAGCCCCUGUCCCAAAAUACAGCACAGAAACAAACUGUGAGCAUACCUCAGCUUUACUGCUGAGCAUAUAAACCACUUUAGAGAAAAACAGUGGUAUUUUGUAUAAGAAAUUGGCAAGACCCACGGUGUUGACAAUGUGCUGAGAGUUCAUGUUUGACCUCACCAACUCUCAACCUAUUUGAGUUUCCAGCCCCUCUGAAGCUUGAUGACUACACAUCAGUAAGACUUCUGAUUAUGGAAACAUUUUCUCUACUGUGUCCUCCAACUGUCACUUGAACUGACUGGUAAAAUUUUAGCAGACAAUAGUGAGACUGUCAACGAAAACAGUAACUCUUUUAGUGAUUCCAGAGAGAUCUCUGGAUUUACUUGGAUGUCAAGAGUUCAGGCAUGGUGGAGGGGUACUGAGGAAGAAUGGCAACAAUUCGAGCAAGACAUAUUAUCGGAAAGAAAUUGUCCUUUCUGGAAGAAAAGAAGUAUCUCUGGGUGGAUUGGGACACUGGUGCUGGCACCCACUUGCUUAUUUGCUGAGGCUUUUUGGUCCUUCUUGUUCCUCAGAGAAAGGUUACCAAGCAACGGCUUCAGGCAAAUCACCUCAGAUCUGCUCUCCAUUCCCCCAGGGUUGUGGGGGUCCGAAGCACAAGCAGAUGUCUGGAGGGAGCUAUUACUCACAUCCUCCCCUUCUUAAUUUCCCCUUCUUAAUUUCGCUCGGUGGCAGUAGCAGCAGUCACAGACCAAUCUCUAUCACUUCAGGAAAGAAGGGGGCAGAAACAGGUAAGAAACUGGCAAUAAAAGGGCAAUAGGAAGAAAGCUUUAAUCUAAGCCUUUGCCAACUGUGGUGAGGACAAACCCACUCUGUUUUGUUCAAAAGGUAUUCUUUGGAAGGAAAAAAAAAUUAGAUAUGUUGAAAGGAAAGAACAUUAAAAAGGGAUUCUGGUGUUUUUAUCCAGAUCACUCAGCCUCUAGUUCUGAAAUUCUCCUAAGAGCUCUUGCUAGAAGUCAGAGUUCCUUCAACAGAAAAGAAGAAAAGAAAAAAAUUAAGGGGGAAGUGGUGAGAUAAUUAGGUAGGAACACACGCUUAUAAGUUCUAUCCCCAAAAUACAGAGUGUGAAUAAUUAUAUAAGGAGAUGAAAUAUGAGUAAAUAUGGAUAUUACAACCUUCUUUGAAAUUAGGCCUUAUACUGUUUAAUGUCAUUUUAAUAAUCUUGUGGUUUAUUCUAUAAUGUAUUUUCCAAAUUGCUGUAGAAAGCCUGAAGGCACAUGUACAAUGAAAUCAUUCAGCAAAGUUUUUUAAACAAUU
rnacentral:lncRNA from 1 species